rnacentral:lncRNA from 1 species
CUGGACUAUAAAACAUGCACAAAUGAAAGUAAAAAAUGAGAAAAGUCAGUCACUUCUAGCCAGGAAUGACAGGAUAAAUAAUUUGCACUUACCUUAAAUAGGAAUUGGAGUGUCCACUGAAAGGGUUUGAUCAGAGGAAUGAGCUGACUGGGUUUGAUUAAAUCCAGCUACAAUCCUGAAGGUGGUCUCCUGGAGAGAGAGAAUUAAAGCUUAAAUCUGGUGCCAUAGCCAUGACACCAAAGAAGAGGACAUCUGCAAGGAAAUUAUGAAGCCAUACUGGUUGUGCUGGCAGGGACUUGAUGCUUCCAACACAAGAGCAAGAGCCAAGUGAAUUUAUCAUCAGAUUGAAUUUGUUUGUGUUUGAAUUAGUCUGAGAUCUGGCCAUGAAAAAUUAUUGCCUUUACACCUCUGCUGUUGUUCCAGAUGUUCCAGGGCUUGUAGGGUGUUAUGCUGCUGAUUCAGCCCUGGCCCUAACACUGGGAAAUGAUGGCCAACCAACCUUUGGAAGUCCAUCCCCAAGUCAACUGUUAAUAGAUUCCUCCAGGGCUCAAACAACAAAUCCUACUUGUCUCAUAGAAGGUAGAGAAUAGACACUCAACAAUACACAUGGAUUGGCCAAGUGGUUGAACCAAAUAUAGUGCUUAUAACACUGUGGAUUCAUAUGGUUGGAUACCAAAAUGGAAUUGUAGUCAAAGUACAUGGACCACUCAACCAAAAUUUAAAAAAAAAUAAUAAUUCAGGUACAAUUCUUAUUUUUCCCUAACACUUAAUACCACGAAAAUAACUUGAGUGAACUUCAAUACUUCCUAAAAUCUCUCUCCUUCUCCAUGGCAGGAAUUGCAUGCAUUGUACCUGCUAUCGGAUCUCUUCUCAACACCACCUGAAGGCACCCCUCAAAAUCUAAUUAUCACCUUCUGUUCCUCCUCACUCCACUUCCCCAAUCCCUUAUCCUCUAA